UGGGGAAUAUUGCACAAUGGGGGAAACCCUGAUGCAGCGACGCCGCGUGAGCGAAGAAGGUUUUCGAAUCGUAAAGCUCUGUCCUAUGAGAAGAUAAUGACGGUAUCAUAGGAGGAAGCCCCGGCUAAAUACGUGCCAGCAGCCGCGGUAAUACGGAAGGUCCAGGCGUUAUCCGGAUUUAUUGGGUUUAAAGGGAGCGUAGGCUGUUUGUUAAGCGUGUUGUGAAAUGUAAGAGCUCAACUUUUAGAUUGCAGCGCGAACUGGCAGACUUGAGUGCGCACAACGUAGGCGGAAUUCAUGGUGUAGCGGUGAAAUGCUUAGAUAUCAUGAAGAACUCCGAUUGCGAAGGCAGCUUACGGGAGUGUUACUGACGCUUAAGCUCGAAGGUGCGGGUAUCGAACAGG
rnacentral:rRNA from 1 species